CGACAACACGACGACGACGGCAACCAAUACAAUGAGUCAAUGAAAAGUGAAUAAAUAAUUAAAGUCCCAGGGGAGUUUCAGACGUGGUCGUCGCUCUGUUUACAACGGCAAAUCACAGAUUUUCACGUCUUUUAUACAACGCCUGCAUUUCAAGGCGUAACAAGUGCAACUUAAAAUUCGGUCAGUAUAGCUCUUCACGAACAUAAAGUCAAUGUUUUCAGCUUCUUAUACUGUAUUAAAUUCAUACGAAUUAUAA